ensembl:lncRNA
CUGCAAUGAAAAGUCAUCCCUUUCAGGUGGAGCCAGCAACUCCAGAAUUCUUAGAACUGAAGAGACAACUCUGCCUCUCCCCUUUGGUUACCAAAGACUGGGUGCCUGGAAGGAAAACUAUCUCUGCGUUGUUAAGCUCUGGUUCCUGAGUGCCUGCAGGAUUUUGGAACAUUCUCUUUGAAAUAGAAGAUUGAUUAAAUGGCAGGCAUUUGAGAACAAUAAACCACUCACCUGGCAGGACUCCUCAUCCAUGUUUCUACCACUCAUGACUGGAGAUCUGGAGGAAGUCCAGAGUGAAAAAAAAGCAGGCAACAUAGAUUACAUAUUGACCAAGAACAACCACAACCACCCAGACAUUUUCUCGCAUGGUACAGAGGAAGUCCAGAGUGAAUACAGAGCCUUCAUCCAGGAGCUCAUGGAAGUAGAAGCAGAUACCGACAGCUAAACACUGAACUGAACUGGAAUCUAGUUGCAGAGAAGGAGGAGUGAUGAGCAAAGUAGUCAAGACCAGGCUGGUGAAACACACAGAAACAGCUGACCUGAACAAGGGGGAGCUCAUGGUCCCCAGACUGAUAGCUGGGAAGCCAGCAUGGAACUGAUCCAGACCCCAUGAAUGUGGGUGUCAGUGAGGAGGCUUCAGAAAUCUAUGGGACCUCUUGUAGCAGAUCAGAACUUAUCCCUAGUUGUAGGAAUGGACUUUGGGAGCCCAUUUCACAUAGAGGAAUAGUCCCUCAAGUUAGACACAAUGGCCUAGGCCCUAUCCCAAAGGAUAUGACAGACUCUGAAGACCCCCCCUCAUGGAAGGCCUCACCCUCACUGGGGAGCAGUAUGGGAAUGGGAAAGGUAGGGUUUAGUGGGGUGGUAGGGAGGUGGGGAGGGAGAGAAAACUGGGUUUGACAUGUAAAAUAAUCUUG